GCGCACAGCCCCGCCAGGGCGGCCGCCCCUCGCAGCCCCGGCCGGGAAUAAAGGAGCGCGGCGCUCCCUGCCGCGGCCCUGCCCAUGUGACGGCCGGUCACACUCGGGGGCUGUCAGCCGCCGGGAUUGUCUCAUCCCGCUGGCAUGUUCCCACCGCGGGACACGUUAGCGCGCACAAUGCGGCCCCUGUGCACCGUGGGGGAUCUGUCGGUACCUGCUGGUGGCCCGGCUUUUAUUACCAUUGUCAUGGUUAUUGCUGGAGCCCGCUCAGGCGAGGGGCUGGGGGCUGAUCAGCAUUCCGAGCCAGGCUCUGCCCCGCUGGCCGAGCCUCCCAGCGCGGCUGCGGCGGCUCCGAGCGCCCCGCUGCCCUCAGAUCCUUCCGGCUCUCACGGCUCAUUCAGCGCUGCUCGGACAGCAACCGGGGCCAAACACUGCUGCGGAGUUUGGGCAGCAUUCCCCGCGGGGAUUUCCUCUCACCUGCUGCUAGGCAGACGGCCGCAGGGUGGGCUAUGGGCCAGGGGGAUGGCCCCGGUGGUCCCUCUGCCCUGCUAGGGCACACCAAAGAGCCACCACCCCUCGCCUUGUGUGGGCUUGUGGCCACGCUGUGGUGGGGAAAGGCGUGGGAGGGCUGGGAGGCAAAGCUCUGUCAGCUCUCCCAUCCACACCUCUGCCAAAGCAGAGGAGCAACUUCUGGAUGCACUUUGGAUAGGGCAGAGGCCAGACGGGGCUGGAGAAAGCUGGGAGCGCCAGCUCAAGGUGUACUCUGACCCAGCUGCCUUUCUGCUGGGAGGGAAUGCACUUUUCAUCCCUCAUGGCCAUCGGGAUCCUGGCACACCCGCUCUGUGCCGGUAAAUGGGAGGGGUGUGUUUGGGUUGGGAGAAGGAUUGUUAGUGAAGGCACAAGGCCAAGAGAGGAUGGGAAUGGCCUUUUCUUGAGGCCACGGCUCUGCAGUAUCUUGCAGUGGUUUCGAGGGAUUUAAAGAAGGUCCUGGAAAAUAAUAUGGGCUGUGGAGAGGAGCAGCAGGUGCCGGCGAAGUGAGAAGAGUUUAAGUGGGAGGUUACUCCAAGCAUGGACAGUUCUCCGGUGAAUGAAAGGGCUGGAGUAAGAGCCUUCCUGGAGCCCAAACCUCCGAUUCUGCUCCUUCAGAGAAGUUCAGGAUGCCCCAGCUUGCCUAAAUGCACCUUCCACACCCCCAGGUUUGCAAGGAGAUGGGUGGGGGGCCGUGUAGCUCCUCAGCUGCCUCAGCAUCUUCUGGGAGGCUGUGCAGAGAUGGCAAACCUUUCCUGCCCCCCUGCCCCAGCACAAGCCCUGCAGAACAAGGAUAACUGCCAAGGGCUUUCAGCUCCUUCAGCCUUGGGAGAAGCGGCUGGGGAGGAGAGCUGGGAAUGCCCAGAGAAUCACGCAGGGUCAGGCCACGCAGAGAUGGGAUGCUCAGGCUCCAGCUGCCUGAGUGUUAAUGCCCUGCACAGCUCUCCAGCGGCACGUCUGACCGCGUGUUGCAGCACAGCAAAAAAUAACCGUGGUCCUGAUGAGAGGAAAUGCACCGGGCGAGUGCGAGGGAGGCAGUGGUUUUGGCAGGGCUGCUCGCUGGGAAAAGCAGGGAGGGGAGGGAAUGGAGAAAUGGAGAGAGAGGACACGGCACCUCGUAACCCCUGUGUGUGCCGUGGUUUCAUCGCCUGCACUCCUCCGAGCGAUCUCCAAAUCCCCUGCGUCUCAGCACUAAAAAUAUCCUUCCCUGCCGCCCGGAGCUCUUCGCCGGCAGAGGCUGUGUCAUAAGACCCUGCUAUUUGCGGGGCCCUGCUUCCUUUCACGCGAGGAGAAGCAUGAGAACAGAGCAGCGCGGCGCCCGGGGCACGGCAGGCACAACCCGGGCACGGUGCCUGGCAGGCUGCUCCUCCACGAGCCCGGCUCCCCCGGCUGCCGCUCGCCACGGAGUUUGCCGUGCCCAGCAUCCUCAGCCCUGCGGGCACGGGGGGAUCCGCUCCUUGCGGCAGCCACGGCGCUCCGAGAGCGGCGAUCCCACUCCAGAACAAGCCCGCGACCCAACAGGUUCCCGAGCUCUGCCGCUUCCCAGGCAGGUGUCCCUCCAAUCCCCCCGGUCCCCGAGCAUCCCCGUCCCGGCACGGAGCUCCCGGCAGCCCCUAAAGCAGCGGGGCCGGCAGCAGCUCACGCAUUCCCGCGCAGAGAGGACAGCAUCAUGUGUUGAUGGGCCCUCCCCAUGUCACUCCUGGCCUUGUGAGACCCUUAUCCCCGGCAGACCCCACUCGGGGCUGCUUUCUCCCACGUUCGGCCCUGCACAUCAGGGCUGCUCCUUGGCAGGGCCGAGGGCUUGGCCGCCGCCUCCUUCCUGUGUCUCAGCAGGCAAAGCGUGCCUGCCCCGGGCCAAAAGGUGAGAGGGGACAGAAGUGACGCGGGAGUCAGCGGAGAGUCUCCACUUCUGGUACGGAGCCCUAGGAACGAUUCUUGCCAGAAACCUGCAGGGUCUGUCUCGGCUGCCGCAGCAUCCCUGCCUGCCUGGUGCCUCCAGAGCGGGCUCUCAGCGCUGCCCUGUGCCAACAGCCCCUUCCCCAAAUGCCCCGCUCACCAUCCCCGGUGGCAAUGUCACCUCUCCUCCCCAGCUGCUGCCAAAAGACCCCAGGGAGGGCAGCAUCAAAGUGCCCCUGUCAUUGUGAGAAAAAUGUAAGGUGACUUGUUCCUCCUGCCCUUCCUGCUCAGGUUUUUCCCGUUUAUUAGAGGUUUGAGGGGUGAGUCAGGAGCUGCGGGGUGAGGAUGGAGCUGGGGAGGAAUCGGCAGCUAAGGAAAGGCAAACCAGUUCCAGGCACAGGUGAAUCACUUGCUGGUGUAAAUACAUCUUAUUCUCUGGAAGGCAUGCGUGGAUGGGGUUGGGAGGGAGCUGCAGCUUCACUCCAUCAGAAAAUUGUGGAGUCAAGAAAAAAAAACAAGGCAAGGCAAGGCUGCUUUUCCAGUAAAUGAGGCGAUACACUGCAAGGGAGCAGCCUGCAGCCGGCAAAGCUCCAGCAACCCGUGGUCCUGCGGCUCCCUUAAAAGGGGCGAUUUUAGCCUGGGACAGCGGGGAGACAGAAAAGCCAUAAACACCCUCAAAGGAAUGUGGCUGCCGAGAAACGAGAAUCUCCGCCGGCGAGGCGAGGUGGGGGGAGCCUGGAUGGGGUUUGCACCAGCCUGGAGCCAGCCUGUUCCUUGGCCAUGCCCUGUCCCGAGGCAGCACCCCGUGUCACAGCGCUGACAGUGCCUGUGUGGUGCUGGGACAGGCUCCUGCCAAGCCCCGGCCUGUCGUGUCCCCACGUCCUCGGGCUCCGUGCCAUACAGACAUUCCUGCCUGCCAGCUGCUGGCACGGGGGCAGGUAGAGCUGGGAGGUGCUGUGGGGACAGCAGGACACCAGCCUGGGUCACAGGAGGAGCAGGCAGGGCUGGCAGAGGGUGCCUGUCCCAGAGGAAUUCCCUCUUCAUCAUAUCCCACUUCUUUUCAGGCAGCUGAGCUGCUCUGCACAGACUUUGCUCUCAGUGCCGUGGAGCAGCCCUGUGUGUGUCCCAUUGUGCAGGGUUUUGGGAAGAGCCCUCGGGGCUGGCUUGUCCCUGCAGGUGGCUGUGGGCAUGUGGGGACACCUCUGGGCCAGGCUCUCCCCUGCGUGUCCCAGGCUGGUGGCAAAUGGGAUGUGCCUGACUGGAAUGACCAUGCUGCUUGAUUUUCUCACAGGACUGGCGAAGAUGCAGCACGUGGCACUCGUCUGUAAAUAAAUGUUGUAGUUUGUU